rnacentral:rRNA from 1 species
AACGAACGCUGGCGGCAUGCCUAACACAUGCAAGUCGAACGAGACCUUCGGGUCUAGUGGCGCCCGGGUGCGUAACGCGUGGGAACCUGCCCUUAGGUUCGGAAUAACUCUCCGAAAGGGGUGCUAAUACCGGAUAAUGUCUUCGGACCAAAGAUUGAUCGCCUUUGGAUGGGCCCGCGUUGGAUUAGCUCGUUGGUAGGGUAAAAGCCUACUAAGGGGACGAUCCAUAGCUGGUCUGAGAGGAUGGUCAGCCACACUGGGACUGAGACACGGCCCAGACUCCUACGGGAGGCAGCAGUGGGGAAUAUUGGACAAUGGGCGAAAGCCUGAUCCAGCAAUGCCGCGUGAGUGAUGAAGGCCGUAGGGUUGUAAAGCUCUUGUACCCGGGAUGAUAAUGACAGUACCGGGAGAAUAAGCUCCGGCUAACUCCGUG